AUUGAACGCUGGCGGCAUGCCUUACACAUGCAAGUCGAACGGUAACGGGCCUUCGGGUGCCGACGAGUGGCGAACGGGUGAGUAAUACAUCGGAACGUGCCCGAUCGUGGGGGAUAACGAGGCGAAAGCUUUGCUAAUACCGCAUACGAUCUACGGAUGAAAGCAGGGGACCGCAAGGCCUUGCGCGGACGGAGCGGCCGAUGGCAGAUUAGGUAGUUGGUGGGAUAAAAGCUUACCAAGCCGACGAUCUGUAGCUGGUCUGAGAGGAUGAUCAGCCACACUGGGACUGAGACACGGCCCAGACUCCUACGGGAGGCAGCAGUGGGGAAUUUUGGACAAUGGGCGCAAGCCUGAUCCAGCCAUGCCGCGUGCAGGAUGAAGGCCUUCGGGUUGUAGACUGCUUUUGUACGGAACGAAAAGCCUUCUUUUAAUACAGGAGGGUCAUGACGGUACCGUAAGAAUAAGCACCGGCUAACUACGUG
rnacentral:rRNA from 1 species